rnacentral:rRNA from 1 species
UACAGAGGUGGCAAGCGUUGUUCGGAAUUACUGGGCGUAAAGGGCGCGUAGGCGGGGAGGUAAGUCGGGUGUGAAAUCCCUCGGCCCAACCGAGGAACUGCGCCCGAGACUGCUUCUCUUGAGUCCCGGAGAGGAAGAUGGAAUUCCCGGUGUAGCGGUGAAAUGUGUAGAGAUCGGGAGGAACACCGGUGGCGAAGGCGGUCUUCUGGACGGUGACUGACGCUGAGGCGCGAAAGCGUGGGGAGCAAACAGG